rnacentral:lncRNA from 1 species
UUUUAUAGAAAACUUCAUUUUAAUCCCUAAAUAAGAUUGCUUUUUCAAUAAUACCGUAUGUAAGAUUAAAAACUAAAAAUAGUCCUCCAUGUCAGAUUAUAGUAUUACAUGUCACAUUUAAUCAUUUUUUAAUAAAUUUAUUGCAUUUUUAGUUUCCCUAUUUACCCUUAUUCUUUAAAACCAAUUAGAGAAACAAAUAUAUAAUUAAUUUUUCAAGAAUGCUUAAUUAACUAGAUCCAUAAUUAACAUGUUUGUUAUAACAUAAAUCUCCAUGUGUUAUUCCAAUCAAAGAACCCAGAAAACUCAGAAACCAUGAUCAAACAAAAAAAGCCAUAAAACUUACAAACCAAAAAUCUUGUUGUAUUCGGAAGAAAGGAGAAAAAAGGGGCUUUUAGAUGCCAAAUUGAAGGUGAAUCCAAAGAUAAAUGAAAAAAAAAUACAAAUUGAGAAAAUAGAAUGUGAAAUCACAACUUAAUUGACCGUACCAAAUUAAUCGGACAUACACUAUAUAGUACCUAACCGACCAUCCCGAAUGGAUAAGACCUAAUUGAUAGUACCUAAAUGAUUAAGGUACAUUCAUAUAGGUACUAUGAUUUAGGUGCAUUCAUAUAGGUACCAUGAUUUAGGUGCAUUCAUAUAGGUACCAUGGUUUAGGUGCAUUCAUAUAA